GACGAACGCUGGCGGCGUGCUUAACACAUGCAAGUCGAACGGAAAGGCCCUGCUUUUGUGGGGUGCUCGAGUGGCGAACGGGUGAGUAACACGUGAGUAACCUGCCCUUGACUUUGGGAUAACUUCAGGAAACUGGGGCUAAUACCGGAUAGGAGCUCCUGCUGCAUGGCGGGGGUUGGAAAGUUUCGGCGGUUGGGGAUGGACUCGCGGCUUAUCAGCUUGUUGGUGGGGUAGUGGCUUACCAAGGCUUUGACGGGUAGCCGGCCUGAGAGGGUGACCGGCCACCUUGGGACUGAGGUACGGCCCAGACUCCUACGGGAGGCAGCGGGGGGGAAUAUUGCACAAUGGGCGGAAGCCUGAUGCAGCAACGCCGCGUGCGGGAUGACGGCCUUCGGGUUGUAAACCGCUUUCGCCUGUGACGAAGCGUGAGUGACGGUAAUGGGUAAAGAAGCACCGGCUAACUACGUG
rnacentral:rRNA from 1 species